GUGAGGAAUAUUGGUCAAUGGGCGAGAGCCUGAACCAGCCAAGUAGCGUGCAGGAUGACGGCCCUAUGGGUUGUAAACUGCUUUUGUACGGGGAUAAAGGAGCUUACGUGUAAGUUUUUGCAGGUACCGUACGAAUAAGGACCGGCUAAUUCCGUGCCAGCAGCCGCGGUAAUACGGAAGGUCCGGGCGUUAUCCGGAUUUAUUGGGUUUAAAGGGAGCGCAGGCUGUCGGUUAAGCGUGUUGUGAAAUGUAGGUGCCCAACACCUGCACUGCAGCGCGAACUGGCUGACUUGAGUACGCACGACGUUGGCGGAAUUUGCCGUGUAGCGGUGAAAUGCUUAGAUAUGGCGAAGAACUCCGAUUGCGAAGGCAGCUGACGGGAGCGCAACUGACGCUCAUGCUCGAAAGUGCGGGUAUCGAACAGGAUUAGAAACCCGUGUAGUCC
rnacentral:rRNA from 1 species